rnacentral:rRNA from 1 species
UACGUAGGGGGCAAGCGUUGUCCGGAUUUAUUGGGCGUAAAGAGCGUGUAGGCGGCCAUACAGGUCCGUUGUGAAAACUGGAGGCUUAACCUCCAGACGUCGAUGGAAACCGUAUGGCUAGAGUCCGGAAGAGGAGAGUGGAAUUCCUGGUGUAGCGGUGAAAUGCGCAGAGUAUCAGGAAGAACACCCGUGGCGAAGGCGGUUUCCUGGCCGAGUACUGACGCUGAGGCACGAAAGCGUGGGGAGCGAACGGG